GACGAACGCUGGCGGCGUGCCUAAUACAUGCAAGUUGAGCGAUGAAGAUUGGUGCUUGCACCAAUUUGAAGAGCAGCGAACGGGUGAGUAACGCGUGGGGAAUCUGCCUUUGAGCGGGGGACAACAUUUGGAAACGAAUGCUAAUACCGCAUAACAACUUUAAACAUAAGUUUUAAGUUUGAAAGAUGCAAUUGCAUCACUCAAAGAUGAUCCCGCGUUGUAUUAGCUAGUUGGUGAGGUAAAGGCUCACCAAGGCGAUGAUACAUAGCCGACCUGAGAGGGUGAUCGGCCACAUUGGGACUGAGACACGGCCCAAACUCCUACGGGAAGCAGCAGUAGGGAAUCUUCGGCAAUGGACGAGAGUCUGACCGAGCAACGCCGCGUGAGUGAAGAAGGUUUUCGGAUCGUAAAACUCUGUUGGUAGAGAAGAACGUUGGUGAGAGUGGAAAGCUCAUCAAGUGACGGUAACUACCCAGAAAGGGACGGCUAACUACGUG
rnacentral:rRNA from 1 species